rnacentral:rRNA from 1 species
CGGAGGAAAAGAAACCAACCGGGAUUGCCUCAGUAACGGCGAGUGAAGCGGCAAGAGCUCAAAUUUGAAAUCUGGCCCCUCCGGGGUCCGAGUUGUAAUUUGUAGAGGAUGCUUCGGGUGCGGCCCCCGUCUAAGUGCUCUGGAACGGGCCAUCGGAGAGGGUGAGAAUCCCGUCUGGGACGGGGUGUCCGCGUCCAUGUGAAGCUCCUUCGACGAGUCGAGUUGUUUGGGAAUGCAGCUCUAAAUGGGUGGUAAAUUUCAUCUAAAGCUAAAUACUGGCCGGAGACCGAUAGCGCACAAGUAGAGUGAUCGAAAGAUGAAAAGCACUUUGAAAAGAGAGUUAAACAGCACGUGAAAUUGUUGAAAGGGAAGCGCUUGCGACCAGACUCGCUUCCGGGGUUCAGCCGGCUUUCGGGCCGGUGUACUUCCCCGGGGGCGGGCCAGCGUCGGUUUGGGCGGCCGGUCAAAGGCCCCUGGAAUGUAACGCCUCUCGGGGCGCCUUAUAGCCAGGGGUGUCAUGCGGCCAGCCUGGACCGAGGAACGCGCUUCGGCACGGACGCUGGCAUAAUGGUCGUAAACGACCCGUCUUGAAACACGGACCAAGGAGUCUAACAUCUACGCGAGUGUUCGGGUGUCAAACCCGUGCGCGCAGUGAAAGCGAACGGAGGUGGGAGCCCCCUCGCGGGGCGCACCAUCGACCGAUCCUGAUGUCUUCGGAUGGAUUUGAGUAAGAGCGUAGCUGUGGGGACCCGAAAGAUGGUGAACUAUGCCUGAAUAGGGCGAAGCCAGAGGAAACUCUGGUGGAGGCUCGCAGCGGUUCUGACGUGCAAAUCGAUCGUCAAAUUUGGGUAUAGGGGCGAAAGACUAAUCGAACCAUCUGGUAG